rnacentral:sRNA from 1 species
GGAGUUCGAGGCUAUCCUGAGGCUACACAGUGAAUUCCAGGUCAGCUCUCCCAAAGCUGUGAACUCAAAGAGCACAACUUUCCUAAAUAAAGGAGGACCAGUCUUGGGUGAAAGGUAUAUGAGUAGCUGCGCUUUCUCGCUAGAACCUCUAAACAAGUUCUCAGUAAAUCUUUGUUUUACUCACACCUCAUCAUCCUUAUGUCUAAUUUUUCAUGGGCAUGAGACAACUAGAAGUUAAUCUGC